AUUGUAAUAUUCAAGCUGAUUCUACACUAAUGAAAGCAGCAAUCGCAGUAGAAAUGUGGGCACGGUUCCAUGUCUGCUGCAUUUGUACCUGGCUUUAGCUGAUUCACGCCUUGGCUGCCUGUAGUGGGUAGAAUGGUGUGUCCCCCAAAGGACAGCGACCCACAGCCUGUGAAUGUGACCAUAUUUGGGAAAAGGGGGGCAAACCCAGCAUUCAUACCCAAGGCGGAGCAUUGCAGAGCCGCUAUGGCUGUCAGCCAUGUAUUCAGAUGGGCAAUAAGCACAUGAAAAGAUGUUCUAGCAGAGCAAUACAAACGAAAACUACCGUGACAUACCAUGUCACAGCCCUCAAAUUGGAAAAAAGAAUAAUAGCAGCGUUACAUGGAGCUCUUAGCCUUACGCGACGAAUACAUAAAGCGGCUUGAGGAACUGCAGCUCGCCAACUCUGCCAAGCUUUCUGAUCCCCCAACUUCACCUUCCAGUCCUUCGCAAAUGAUGCCCCAUGUGCAAACUCACUUCUGAG
rnacentral:lncRNA from 1 species